rnacentral:lncRNA from 1 species
GCUUAUCCAGGUGUAAUGAUAAGUCGUUAUCCUAAUGCUAUUUUUUUCUUAUUUUUUCUGUACACUUAGCUUUCAUUUUUUAUUACCAUGCAUUGUCAAGCUUGGUAACUCAUAAUUAUUUGUCAGUAACUAAAUGUACGAUGCUGUCCCAUACUGAACCUUCUGACCUUGUUUGUUUACAUUUAAAUUUCAAUGGCGUCAAAAUCACGUGAUGUCAAUUCGUUCUACCCAAUCAAAUUGCUCUACUGUCAAUUAGGGGAUUUUCCAGUCUACGGCAAUUACGUUAUUUCUUUGUGGGAUAUUGCUUUAAAAUAGUUUGCAAUAAUUUUGGGUUUUAUUCAACAGGAAAACUCUUUUUUUUUGCCAUCCCUUUUGACAUCAAUGGAAUUCUGUAUGAAUAUUUAUCUACAGUCAUGAUGGUCAGAAUAUCGAUCUUUUUAUAAUGAAUAAAAAGAAAAUUCUAUGAAAAAUAAAUGUAAAUUAUUUUUCAUUAACCUACUCUAUAUUCCUGUACAAAAUUAUGGCAUGGGCAUCGUUUUUUCAAUUAGUUUUCCUUUCAUUUUGGUUGGGCUUUUUUUCGCGGGAAAUCGCGAAAGACGUAAGGAGCAUGUCAUUUUAAAAUUCCUAAAAAUACGAUUUGCUUGACCUGUAUUGCCUGCCACAAGAUUGAUGACGCUGAAUGGAAUGUACACAAAGCAAUGGAGGCCGGAAUGGGAAUUUUGUGAAGUUCUAGAAUGUUCUUAGACAUUCGGAAGUCGGGAUUGAAACGGGCAUUAGAAAUUUGGCAUUUUUUAGCAAUAAUUGAGAACAACAAUGAAAACUUACCUUCAGAAAUGUUUUUUUAUUCAAAAGUGCAGAAAAAACGUAUUCUACAUUGUUUUUCUACGCCGGAAGUAGCGUAGUGACGUCAAUGCGGAGUUUCCCCGUGUGUUAAGUUCAAACACAAAUACCUAACGAACUGACAAGAUGAACGAUUUUAGACUACUACAGGAUAUAU